CUUUCUUUAACCUUUCUGCUUCUUCAAUAAUUUCUCUUCCUUUUCUUCUCAGGCUCACAAAAAGUAUAUUCUGUUGCUAUACCAAGUGACAUGAUCAUCACAAUUGAAGGUGCAUGUUGAGCAAGAUGGAGAAGCAGGGCACGUGCAACACUAACUCUUGAACACAACACAAAGGGUGUGAACUCAGAGAAUUGUCACAUUCUUUUCUGCUAGAGAGAUCCUAUAUUUUCUGCAGCGAGUUAGUCCUUCAUGUGCCCCUCUUCCCCAUCAUGACAACAGCACCUUAUCUUGCAUUUGGAAGUGUUCAAGGAUGGGAUUUUGAUUUGCUUCUGUUCACAAUUCAGCAUCAAAUUCAAUUUUUUUUAUAUAGGCUUCUUACAGAAGUGCCAGGUUUAUCCUCCUCAAAAGAAAAAGUUCAUCUGUUGUGCGCACUUGGGAACUAUAUAUUGACAUAGUGGCAUGCCUUUUCAUGGCAUAAACAUUGAUUACACAAGUCUCUUGGCACAAGUUGCCAUAUAAUUUUACACCGCAAGUUUAUGUUCAUAUAACUUCUUUUGAUCGUUUUGCAUGCCAUCGUCACGAUGUCAAAAAGGAAGCCUUUGAACAAGACAAAAAGAGGUAAAGAAGUUUCGAACUUUUGUAAUAUUCAUAUAGGAAGCGAAGGGGUAAGAAAAAAAAUGCAGGUAUUCCAUUCUUCACCAGUUAUUGUGUUAAUUUCUGCAAUAUGACAAAUAUGCAUGGCUAGUUUGCAGCAGCUAGCUAGGUUUAUCAAGCUAGUUUCUUCUUGCUUAUUGUGUUGGUGUGGUGCUUAAUUGUUUUCUUUGGUAUCAUCUAUGGUUCAAAUUAACUUUCAAACUUGAUAUGAAAUAGUGGUUGAUAUUGUAGCUACUGGAGAAAUCAAAGUUGUACUCAUCAGCUGUGAAUUUUCAGAAUUUUGCAUUCUCAGUGGUGGAUAUUAAAAAUCUGUCAUAAAUUCAGUCACGGAAUUAGGUGAUCUUCACUCUUAUAUCAUCAUAUAUAGUUGUUGAUUAAUGUCCUAAAGUCUAGAGACAAUUAUAAAAACCCCACCAUGAGAGAACAUAUAGGGAAGAUGUUUUUUUGGUAAUACAAGCCAGAUAGUUACCAUAAUUACAUAAAAUAUAACUUGUGUGAUACACAUAAAAGAAGUAUUAAUUCGUGGGAGUUAGACUAAUAUCUUUCUAGAAAUCAAAAAGCAUUAAAAGGUGAGCUACCUCAAUGAACUAGGUUUCCUUCAUACAUAAGAGCUAGUAUUUGAGUGUUCUGUGAUUAUAUAUAGUAUGAAUGCUAGCAACAUGAUAUGAGUUUGUUUACUACAUGUAAAACUGUGUGUGUUCAUAAGAAGAGAAAGAGAAAUUGAUUGAGCAUUUUAAAGAAACUUAAUAUUUUUGUGAGAAUAAUUGAUGAUGAAGUGAAAAGAAGGAUGCGUCCAAGAGACAGCACAUGUAAAUGGCAUAGUGAGCAGUCCCCAUAUAUGAUGGUUUCCGUACACUUACUGAAAGGAUCUGUCUUUAAUUAAGCACACAAAAAAGGGUUUUGAGAAGUUUGGAAAUAUGUGGUGUGGCAUUUAUGAUUGUUUGAAAGGCAGUGUCCGUUUUGUUUGCAUAUAUAGCAUCUAAAGAAACAUGGCGUCGUGGAUACAGCUCAUGAGAUGAGAUAAGAAUUCAGAGUUUUUUACCAUUAUUUGUUGCUAUUCUCCUUCUUAAUUCAGAUGCCAAUUUAUGAUCAUUAAUUAACUCAUCACUGAUCACAUUUUGGAACACAAUAGGACCAUUCCAUUUCCAUUAAAAACCAGAUAUAUUCACUUUCUUAUCAAUGACACUGACCAAGAAAAUUGGUUUCUUUUCCUAUCAGUACUUCGCCCUACACAAUAGCAAGAGUCUUCAUAUUUUAAGAUACGUGGGCCGUUCUCAUAAAGAGCUUUCGUAUUUGCACCGACACCACUCUAAUUUCAAAUGGGAUACUUUUUCUACAUCUUAAUUUUCUUCUCUUUCAAGUUUAAAGGUACUGAUAAAUCUGGUUGAUUUAAGUUAAGCCUAAUUGAGGUCUGUCUACUUUUGGAUCUUCUCCAUGAUUUUGUUAUUAAAUUUUUUUUGAAAAAUAAAA
rnacentral:sRNA from 1 species